ACAGCUCACUGCCUAGGCCUGGAGGAUAGACAAGUAGAUCUUUUUCUUAAAGGAUAUGAGAUCACAGAAUGGUUUGUGUUGAAAGGGAUCUCAAAGGCCUCUAGUUCCACCACCUGCCAGGGACAGGAAACGUUUCACUAGGCCAGGUUUCCCAAAGUUCCAUUCAGCUUGGCCUUAAAUAUCUUCAGGGAUGGGGUAUCCACAGCUUCUCUGGACAAUUUGUUUUAAUGUCACACCACCCUCAUAAAGAUUUCCCUCCUUGUAUAUAAUCUAAAUCUACCUUUGUUUUUUUUUGUAUGAAACCAUUACACUUUUACCUGUCACCACACUCCUCGAUGAAGAGUUCUUCCCCAUUUUUCCUGUAGGCCCCUUUGAAUAUUGGAAGGCAGCUAUAAGGUCUUCCAAGAGCCUUCUCUUCUCUGGGCUAAAUAGCUCAAACUUUCUCAGCCUGUCUUUGUAGGAGAGGUCCCCCAGCCCUUUGAUAAUCUCUGUGGCCCUUUUUGGACCUGCUGUAACAGCUCCACAUUUUUCUUGUUCUGGGGGCCUCAAAUCUGGAAGCAGUAAUCCAGGUAUGGCCCCGCAGGAGCAGAGUAGAAAGCGGUGAUCACCUCCCUCAGCCUGCUGGCCAUACUUCUUUUAAUGCAGCCUAGGAUACAGUUGGCCUUCUGGGUUGUAAGCACACAAUGCUGGCCAGUGUCAAGCUUUCCAUCUGUCAGCACCCCCAAGUUCUUAUCCAUAGGACUGCUCUUUAUCUACUCAUUGCUCAGCCUUAUCUCUGGCUCUAAAUUUGUUCUCCAUGGCUUCAUCUCAUUCCAACCUUUUGCCACCACCAAACCAAACAUGCUUCAUCACUUACUAGCCAGCCUCACAGAAUUACUUUUGUGUAGUAGCCAUUACUAGCCACUGCUCUUUCAAAGCUUGCUAGUGCUGUGCCCCCACAGCAGUCAUAGAAUUAUAGAGUUUUUUGAGUUAGAAGGGCCCCUUAAAGGUCACCCAGUCUAAUUCCCCUGCAAUGAACAGUCACCCACUGUUCACCAUCUCUUGGGGCUCUCUUCCGGAGAUCUUCACAGUGCCUCUGCAGCACUUCUGCCUGCUGGCCUGGGGCUCUGUAGGACUGUCUCUUUCCACAAGGAGAAGGUGCUAGAAGCUGGGGUUCAGCUGCCUUUCUUUACUACCACAUGGUACCCUGGAGACAUUUGUCUUCCUCAUAUGUUAUCAUUUCAGAUAGAUAUCAAAUCAUGCACUAGUUUCCUGAACAUUAACUGAGACUUUUUUUCCCAGUAAAAAGAUCAGAUGACAUGAAAGGCGUCAACUAUCCAGUCAUCUCCCCUUUUUUUUCUGACACAUCCUUGGAAAGAGUUCCUACACAUCACUUUGACCUCUUCUACUGAGAAAUUCCAAAUGUUUCUCAGUGUUGAUUCAGAAGUUGCAACUACAGCAUCCACCAGGUUCCCUCUGCAGCACCUUCUAUCCCCACAGUCCCCACGUGAGAGUGAAGGCUGGAGCAGGGCUGGAGCAUACAAGUCGCUGCACCUCUUCUGACAAGUGCCAUUUCCUGGGAUCCUUACCAUUUCAGUGCACUUGAGAUUGCUUCAGUCCAGAUGCACUGAGUCCAUGAAGAAAUUAAAAGCAGCCAAAGAUCAGACUCUUCAUUGAAGUGGCGCGAGUGGGAAUCACUUUGGAGGGAGAAAGCCAUAGCAGGAGGAGGAAGCAGCUCAUAUUUACCUUCUAGAUGCUAGACCCAAGGUGGAGAUCACAAUGCUGGCUCUAUGCCUUGAGAAGUGGCCAAAUAAAUCCAAAGAGGUCCACCAAGAAUUAUUUCCAUAAAGGCAACACCAUCUCACCAGGCACCAGCAAAAGUAAAACAAUCAAGUUUUAUGUCAACAACUGGUUGGAAACGCAUAGUCCUAACACACCAUUAUUUCUUGUCUGUGAGAGAAGAGAGAUCUGUUGCAGGAUAGCAACUGUGAGCCUCACACGUGCUUCCUUCACCUUUUUGUUAUGUUCCUCAGCACACAUCCACCCUUGAUAGAAGAUUGCCUCAAGUUCAUGGAAAUCUACAUGGAAAAAUCCACAAGUUUUCUUAGUCUAUCCACAAUGCCAGUCUGCUGUGACACCUCUGUAGGCAAAUACCCUGAAGCCAAAAGGAGAGGUCAGCCUGCCUUGACCUGUUUGCUGCCUCCAGGAGUUCCUCAGCAACCCUGGGAUUUUGCCUGAAGUAACCCAAAACCACCUCUCACAUUGUCAUACCCAUUCUCUGGGGCUCACAGUAGUUAUCUGGCAAAAACAAACCAACCCCAAACAUUUCCAACAACAAAUUAAACAAAAUAAAACAAGUACCAAC
ensembl:lncRNA